CCUACGGGGGGCUGCAGUGAGGAAUAUUCCGCAAUGGACGAAAGUCUGACGGAGCGACGCCGCGUGGAUGAAGAAGGCCGAAAGGUUGUAAAGUUCUUUUGUUGGGGAAGAAUAACCAUGGGAGGGAAUGCCCGUGGGAUGACAUGAACCGACGAAUAAGCCCCGGCUAACUACGUGCCAGCAGCCGCGGUAACACGUAGGGGGCAAGCGUUGUUCGGAAUUACUGGGCGUAAAGGGCAUGUAGGCGGCCUUGUAAGCUUGGCGUGAAAGUCCACGGCUUAACCGUGGGAUUGCGUUGAGAACUGCGAGGCUUGAGUGACGGAGAGGGAGCUAGAAUUCCUGGUGUAGGGGUGGAAUCUGUAGAGAUCAGGAAGAAUACCAAUGGCGAAGGCAAGCUCCUGGCCGAUGACUGACGCUGAGGUGCGAAAGUGUGGGGAUCAAACAGGAUUAGAUACCCCAGUAGUC
rnacentral:rRNA from 1 species